AAUAUUAUACAAUAUUCGAAUGCCUGAUCCAACCACGCGGCGUGUCAAAGAAGGUGUUCGGAUUGUAAAGCACUUUAAGUUAGGAGGAAGGGUUGUAGCGUAAUACGCUGCAAUCUUGACGUGACGGACAGAAUAAGCACCGGCUAACUCUGUGCCAGCAGCCGCGGUAAUACAGAGGGUGCAAGCGUUAAUCGAAAUUACUGAGCGUAAAGCGCGCGUAGGUGGCAAAGUAAAAUGGGUGUGAAAUCCCCGGGCUCAACCUGGGAACUGCAUCCAUAAUAAAUUCGAUAGAGUACGGUGGAGGGUAGAGGAAUUUCGUGUGUAGCGAUGAAAUGCGUAGAUAUAGGAAGGAACACCACUGGCGAAGGCGACUACCUGGACUGAGAGUGACGCUGAGGUGGGGAAGCGUGGGGAACAAACAGGAUGAGAUACCCUGGUAGUCCACACAAAA
rnacentral:rRNA from 1 species